GACGAGCUAGCAACAAGUCCACCUAUUUCUAUUUCUCCUGUCGUGGCACUGAAGCGCGAGGCCAGCCACUCUUCAAGUAUCACUUCUCUUCUUUUCAUCAAUUGUGCACCUCAAUAGUCGUUGCUCAUCCAUUCACCUCCCCACCUUCCUCUCUUUCUAAAUUCUAAUGGGUUGUAAUUGUCCACUGGCCCACCACUUUCAUUUCGAGACUCUGGUAUGUAUCUCAAAUCCUCACCAUUGUGGCCACACUCCUUUUUACUCAAUCUUCGGCAGUAGUUCCUGCUGCUCCUAGCCUAUCUUUGGCGACCAUGCAGAGAGCCUCCGGAAUGCUGUCCGAUGGAUACACCGUUCCCGAUCAGUCGAUUAUGACAAAGAGCUCCAAGAGGGUGGAGGUAAUGGCGCUGCAGGUCAAGGCAAGGAGAUCGCCCAUCAAGUUGAACCAGAGGUCUGAAGAGGGCCAGUGAUUCAAAUAAGAGGAAACGGUGGCCACCAAGCAAGCAGAAGAAACAAGGCAUGAAGCCUUCGUCUUCGUUGAAGUCAUGGUCACGCUGCAAAAUUCCGUUUCAGAAAAAAAAAGAUGGUCACGCUGCAAAAUCUGAGAUAUGGGAGCAAUUCUACUUACAUGAUUGAUUGCACUGCCAAAAUCGAAUGGGCUUCAAUCAGGAAUAAAUACACAAAUAGUUCACGUGACUACGGCACUGCCAGGGCAGGUCUAUUGAAGACAAAUCCGAUUAGCUCAGUGUUGCAUUACUCAAAAAAAUUCCCAUGGUAACAUUACAAAGUAUAUUCCCAUGUCUUGCUGAUAUGUUCCUACUUAUUUUGCAUUACAAAGAUGUUUAAUCAAUCGUGUGAUACAUCAGCUUUUGUUUUUUAUGUUCAAUCUGGUAUACCCUUUUUUUUCUCGGUUCAAAGUUUCUGAAUCACCCUGGGAACAUGUACGUACAAUUUGUUAAGCUCUGAGCUUAAAAUAAUCUUCUUCUUUAUUAUAUGAUUUUGCCCACUUUCAUUGCUAUAAAUUGCCGCAGCAACA